CAUAUCAGUAAGCGGAGGAAGAGAAACUAACCAGGAUUCUCCUAGUAACGGCGAGUGAACGGAGAUUAGCCCAUCACCGAAGCCUGCGUGUAUUUGCAUGCUAGGCAAUGUGGUGUUAAAGCUUGUACCUGGGAUCGUGUUCCUACCCGAAGUCUAAAUCCGAUUGUGGCUUUGGAUUCAUUCCAUAGCGGGUGAAAGUCCCGUGCGGGUAGGACUAUUGCAAAUCACACGGUCCUCAGAUGUGCAUGCUUUCGAGUCGGAUUGCUUGAGAAUGCAGUCCAAAGUGGGUGGUAAACUCCAUCCAAGGCUAAAUACUGGCACGAGUCCGAUAGUAGACAAGUACCGUGAGGGAAAGUUGAAAAGUACUCUGAAGAGAGAGUAAAUAGUACGUGAAGCCGAUUGCAGGGAAGCUGGUGGAGUCAAGCUUCGUGCUUGAGGGAUUGAUGCUGGGAGCAGGUGUGUGAUUUGGAUGUGAGGAUGGACAACUUGGAAUAAGUUGGGCGUGUUCUGAAUGCGCUUCAAGUCAUUCUGGGUAGAGUGUUAUGAGCCUUCCUCACUUUCCUACUCUCAGUGUUGUAUUCCUCGCUGCACAGGCCACAGUCAAUGGGUGCAUGCGGUGUGAAGGCCUAACUGUGCUGCGGAGGGUGCAAGCUCUCCGUGUGCAGGAUGGCAGGUGCUGUCUUCGGGCCUMGUGUUCGUUGAUAGUUGUUGUGGUUUCGACCGGCUGGUCUUCAUACUGUAUUGUGCCUAUUGCCUAUCAAUGGCGUGGCUUCCUCGGAAGUUGCGUYGUGAAGAACUGUGCUCGAGWRUUACC
rnacentral:rRNA from 1 species